rnacentral:lncRNA from 1 species
CGGCGAGUGAUAAAUUACGGCUACCACUUGAUGUGGGGAAUGUGAGAUAUCUUAUACCAGUCUUCUCCUUCCCCCACUCUAUAACGGUUUUCCAGAAGAGGACAUUUCCAAAUUGUCAAAUCCUGCAGUGCCGUCGUUCGAAGGAGGUAAUCCGGCAGCACCUUUAAUUUGGGGCAAUGCUCAAUUUCCAAGGAAGAAAGACGUGGUAUGUCUGUUGUCCUGUGAUCUUCUAGAAUGGGCAGUUCUUCUAGAAGAUCACAAGAAAAAAUACUCAAUUUCUGCAGUGCCGUCGUUUGAAAAAGGUAAUCCGGCAGCGCCUUUAAUUUGGUGCAAUACCAAAUCGUCAAGGAAGAAAGACGUGGCAUGAUGGAGAUGUUUUCCUUCCUCGUAAUCCUGUAAUUCCACUCUUCCAAUUCUUCCAAGCCCCAAAUUUCGAGAGAUUUCAAUUUGGGGAAGGCAAUAACUGAUGAUGACGAUGAAGAUGAAGAUGGGUCGUCCUCACUGCUUUCUUCUAUUCCCAAAAACUCAUUACCCACUCUUUUUACACUUUUCAAGUUGCGUAGUUCGAGUUUUUCCAGAGGCAAUUUUCCCAAAGGAGGCAAAUGCUCACAAUUAACGCAGGAGAGAAGUUUUAAAUUCCUUAGAUUGGUUAGUGAAGUCAACCAUUUGGGAAAAAUGUUGCCUCCGUAGGAUUCAAUCCAUAAUUCCUCUACAUUCAAAGGCGGUUGUAAGGCUUCAAGAAGUUGUUUAUCUUUCUCAAUAUUCAUCCUCCUCCCUUCUUCGCCUUCCCCAUCUACGACUCCACCAAACACAAGACGCAAACGAAGGAGGUUUUUCUUAUUGUAAAGUUGUAACCUCUCAGCCUCAUCUAAAUGUGACACAUUACCCAGCCCUUCUAUUCCACAUUCUCGAAGGAGUUGAAGAUUUUUCAGAGAUUCAAGCCUACACGUAUUGCUACCAUCAACACCUCCACCCACCACAAACUUGUCUAAUGUUCGAAGACUGGUUAAUUUGGAAAUCCCUAUUGGCAUGUAUUUCAACGAAUCAGUUUCACCAUUCAGUAAACUCCUCAUGUUCUUUAACUUCCCAAUCCCCGCUGGCAAUUCCCUAAGAUUUUCGCAACCCCUAAUAUCUAGCUUUUGUAAAUUAUAUAAUUCACACAAAGUCUCAGGCAGUCUCUCUAUACAUAAUUUAGACAAAUUAAGAUAUUUUAAAUGUAUCGAUUUUCCAACAUUUUCUGGAAUUUCUCUAAUCAAAUUUGAGUAGGACGAUUGGCUUAUAACUAAUGCCCUUAAACACGCCAAUUUACUAAAUAACUCCAGAAGGACGCUACUAUUAAGAGACGGAUUGGAAGGACUUUCAUCAUUAAUUAGGAUGGUACGCAAUCUAUUAAGUCCGUGAAUGGAUAUAGGAAAUGAAGCGCCUCCUUCAAACUUUAACCCUAAGUGACGGACUUUGUCGCCAAAAGAGUUUAUGACUGAUUCUUUGGUACCAUUAAUUUCUAGCCACAAACAUUCUUUUCUACUUAUAAAUUGGGCAAAAUCAUGUACUAUGUCAUGCAUCUUGCAACUCAGAAUAUCAUCAUCGUCAUAAUCUUUUUCAAACUCUUGAAAGAAAGAGCGUGUUGCUAAGAUGUUGAAAUACUCUUCUCCAAUCAUCUCCAUUUCUUCGUCUUCUUCUGCGUUAAAGUAACCUUGAGCCAUCCACAAACUAAUCAAUUCUUCUUUAUUCAUACUGUAGUCUUUUGGAAAGACAGCACAAUAUGAGAAACACCGUUUUACCAUCGAAUUGGAGGGCAAAUCGUUAUAACUCAACAACAAAGGAGCCAAAAGACCUUGCCCAAUCUCUUCAAAUUUCCACAUUUCACUAUCUAACAUUCUUUGCCACUCUUUUACUGUAAUUUUAGAGCGCAAGAGAUUCCCUAUUACCUUUGCAGCAAGAGGCAGGCCUUUGCACUUGCGUGCAAUUUUUCGCCCGAUUGGUUCUAAUCUUUCACAAUCCUCGAAACAGCGACCGAAAAAUGCUAACUGCUUGAAAAACAACCAGCAUUCCUCUUCAGCCAGUUGUUCAAUGGAGAUAGUAUCUGACUCUGUUGUUCCCAUCAUACGUGCAAUUGACUCAUUACGUGUGGUAACCAAAAUUUUACUUCCGUGGAGACCAUUCUUUAGACAAAAGAAGAAUGGAUCCCAUUUAUUGGAAUCCCCAUCCCAUACAUCAUCUAAGACAAGAAAAAUUUUUUUUCCUCCAAUUGAUCUAUGGAUAUGGCUCAUAAGAGAUUGGAAUUCGCUUAAACUAGAAGCUUCUUUUGAUUCGCCUAGACCUUCAAUGAUUGCUUUGGCGACCCUAAUCUCCUCAAAAGUGUCUGAUACACACACCCAUAUAACUUUGUCAAAAUUUCUUUUCACCUCAUCAUUAUUAUAGGCUAGUUGUGCAAGAGUGGUUUUACCUAUACCCGCGAACCCAACCAGUGAGAUGAUAUGAGGGUGUUGUUCACUACUUUCACACAACAACUUGGUUAAGAGCUUAUUUUUCUCAUCAUCUCUACCAAAAACCUUCCUCUCAUCAAUCAAGGAGGUGGUUCGCACUCGCUCUGGUUUCUUAACAUUGUUACUCACAUUCUCAACAAAUUUGAAAUUAUCUUUUUGUCUGGCAAUAUCAUCUAGCUUUUCACGGAUUUCUCUAAUCUUGACAGCAAUAUCAUGACGAAGACUGAGUUGUUUGAAACCACCAAAGCAGUUUGAGGCAGCAGGAAAGAAGGAACAUACCUUCGUCAAAAGAGUAACAAAAGCAUUGGCGUCAUCAUCAUCAUCAUCAUCGCCGCCCUCAUCAAGCUGCAAUUUCCGUGUUUCAGUGAUCCACUCAUCCAACACAUCUUCCAUGUCGUAGGAUGCGUCUCUGAGCUCAUCCAGCCAAUCAGUAACAGCUUUGUCGAGCUUCAUUUGCCUCUGCUCUGCAUCUUCCAGCACAGCUUGAAUGGCUCGAAGAUUUUUGGUAAGCUUUUCCACUUCUUUUUCGACACCCGUCACAAGCCUCCACUUUUCUUUCACCUGAUCUUGAGCAAUGGAUUUCAGCUGGUCCAGGAGAGAGGAAACGAUCGCAAGAGCCAUUCUGAUAUUAGAUCAAAUGGUAAAUGCUGCGAUUGCUUUUCUUGCUGCUAAAAUGCUCAGAGGAAAGUAGGUUUUAUGUAUUCUGUGAGAAUGUUCAUUCAAGCAUGUUUGCAUUCUUCUUAUACGUGCAAAUUGAAGGAGUCACCAUCUGGGGCUAGCUUUCUGCUCCACCACGUCAAUAAUUGUACAGCGUCUGCUCUGUUUCUCUGAUUCAUAAUAAUUCAUUAUUAAUUCUGCAGAGUACACAGCAUCAGCACUUGUGAAAUUUCUUACAUUUGUAUUUAGUUACAUGCUGCUCUUGAGAUAAUUAGUAACAAAAUAUUUGUAAACUGCAACAAAAAGCUUUGUGCAAUCUAUCUAUGAAUCUUGAGAAUUCACAUAUAAUACAGUCGAUUUAAAAUAGUCAUAAAUUUUUUUUAUUAUAAAUAUUAGUAUAUUUGUAAUGGUAUAAUAUAUAUCGAUGAAACUAUAUAGAGUAAUUUCGCCUAAUUGUAUAAAUUCAUUACGAAUAUCAUCACAAAUUUGUAUUUGGUCGGGACGGUGCGAGUGAAUUUUUUUAUAAAAUCAUCUCCUGACAAUUUAUUUAUUAUAUUUUUCAAUUUAGCUUUACCGUAUGGAUCCAUUUCUUAUCUAUAUGGCCUUUUAUUAUCAGGUAGGCCAAGGCCAUUUGGUCAUUUGAAAAAGUAUGUGAUUCCGUUUUAGUCUAUUAGGUCACGACAAAAAGAGAAUUGGAAAAUGUAACAUUCUCAAAUUAAUUUGUAGUGGAAAAGAGAAAAAUAAGACAAAAGUUGGAAAAAUCAUGCAGCCGACCCUUUUUUCUAUCUGAUUGCGCAAUAUUAGGUAGGCGAAUGCGACUUCAUCGAUAUCACACAGCAGUGGUUCUGUCAUUAAUUUUUUUCUUUUAUUUAAUUAAGAAAAGGAAGAAAAGAUAGUACAUGUUAUGAUUAUUGUGAAUUUUCCAUCCCUUAUAUAAAUUCUCGAAUUCAUUUAAAUUGUGAGUCAUAGAAGUAUAUUACCUAAACUAUUUUAUCAGGCUAUGUUCGGAUACUAGGAUUAAGUUUGGAAUUGGACUAAUUUUGUGAUUAUAUAUUUAUAUCAUAUUUGGUAAGCUUAAUUGAAUUGGACAAAGGGACUAAAUUUAAGUUUAAUCCUAAAAUUAUGGGAUUAAUAAUCCUAAUUUACACUUUCCUUUAGUUGGGACUUGGGAUAAGAUUAAAGAAAAAAGUUAUCCAUUUAUGAGACUUUAAUUUAUGUCAUUAUUGUUUAUUUAUACUUAAUAUUAAUUAAUUUAUUAAUUAAUUUAUUUUUUAAUUUAUGAUUUACUUAAAAUUUAUUUUUAUUUAUUAUCUAUCAUCUGAUUAAAUUAGAACUUUACUUCUACUAACUCUUGAGAUUAAUUUUUCAUUACUUGCGUAUUUGAUAAUUUGCCAAUAAAAUUAACCAUUUAAUAAUUUCUUGCAUUAUUGAUUGUAUUAAAUUUAAUAAUCACUAAUAUAAUAUUAAAAAUAAUCAUGAAAAUUAAUAAUACCUUCAAUUAAUUGAUUUUAUAUACUUUUUUAAAUAUUUGAUAAGAAGUUGAUAAAAAUUAAUUAAGGAUUUAAAAUUUUAUUCAUUUUUUAUUUAUUUAUUUUAUCAUGAAUACCCAGUAUCUUACAAUAUAAUUAAUUUUCUUAUUCAGACUACUCAGCAUCAGCUCCUGUAAAAUUUCUUACAUUAUAAGCAACAAAAUAUUUAUAAACUACAACAAAAGGCUUAGAUCAAUCCACCGGUGAACCUUCUGAAGUUAUAUAUAAUAUAUUAAUUGUUGAUCUAAGAAUAGUCUCAGUGGAUAGAUUUUUUAUAUUAUAAAUAUCAAUAAAUUUUUUAUCGUUUAAUAGAUAUUGAUGAAAUUAUAUGGAGUAAUUUCGCCCAAUCAUAUUAAUUCAUUAUGAAUUUCAGCACAAAUUUAUAUGUGAUCGAUCUGGACCGUGCAAGUGAAAUUUAUUUACUAUAUUUUUCAACUUUUUGUCAGGUAGGCAAAAGCAAAAGCCAUUAUCUCAUUAAUUGAUUUGGUCAUUUGAGAAUGUAACUCUAUUAUGCCGUGACAAACUCCAAGAUCUAAUUUAGAGAGCGACUCAAAUAAUGGUAAUUAGUAAUUUAUUACAUCUGCAAUUAGAUAUAUACUUUGUUUGAGAAAAAAAUAAAAUCAGUUUUAUAAUGAUUUUAAUUACAAUGAAUAUCAUGCUGUGAUCUAUGACUUGUCUGAUAUUACAAAGAGAAUAUGUGAAAGAUAACUAAGUAAUAAAAUUACAAUAAAUAUCAUCACAAAUGAAAUUUAUUUAUUAUAUUUUUCAAUUUAACGUUAACGUAUGGACCAUUUUUUGGUCUAUAUGGAUUAUGGCCGACAAUUUUUUGGCAAAAUUGUCUCAUUAAUUCAUUUGGUCAUUUGAAAAAGUUGUGGCUCUGUUUUAAUCCAGUGUCAAUAUAUAACUUUAUUAUGUCAUGACAAACUUCAAAAUCUAAUUUAGAGUGUGACUCGAAUAAUUUUAAUUAGUAAUUUAUUAAAUCUACAGUAGGAUACUUUGUUGAGAAAAAAAAAAGAAUAAAAUCUGUCCCAUAAUGAUUUUAAUAAAUAUCAUACUAUUGUCUACGGACUUACCUCAUAUUACAAAGAAUUAAAAUAUGCGAAAGAUAACUAAGGAAUAAAAUUUUUCCACAAUGAUUUAUAAAAUUGCUUUUGAAGAACGGUUAUGAUAUUAUAUUAAAUUACUAAGAAUUUAGUUAACCUCUCAAGAAGUCUAUUUGGUUGACUUCUCGAGUUUAAAAUUCGAAUGUCAAAAAAGAUAAAAGGUUAAAAAAAUAUUUUAAAUAUUCUCCACCCUUUUACUAUUUUAAUAUACAAAAAGAAGAAUUACUUGUUUUUAACAAUAGCAACCGGGGGCAUCAUAUAUCUGAUGGAUUUUUUUAAGGAACAAAACUUAUUAUAUCUCCUAUCAAAAAUGUCAUUUUUGUUAGUAAAAGGAUAUCUAUAUCUCCAAAUUUUGGAAAAAUGGUUACCAACGCUUCCAAGUCCUAAAUUUGAAAAAAGAGACACUAAAACUCAUUUUUUACUACAAUACCCUUUACUUUUAUUAUCCCAAAAGUUAACUUUAAUUUUUUUUAUAAUAAAUAGAAAUAUAAUAUUAAAAUAAAUGUAUUAAAAUUUAAAUUAUUAUGAAAAAUAAUAAUUUUAAUAUUAUUAGUAUGUGAGACUUUUUUAAUUGUAAAAUGUAUUUAAUGCAAAUAUUUAUUUAAAAUCUCUACAAUAAAUACAAAUAUAUUAUUAAAAUAAAUAUAAUAAUUUACAUAUUUAAAUUUAUUUUAAUAUUAAAGUAUUUUAAUAUUAUUAAUCUACUAUAUAGAUUACAUUAUUUAUAUAAUAUUUGUGUUUACUAAAAAUUUGCAAGUUAAAUUUUUCGGGAUACUAAAGGUAAAGAGUAUUAUGGUCAAAAGAGAGUCUUGAUGUCAUUUUUAGAAAACUUGGGGUGUUGGUGACUAUUUCUCCAAACCAUGGGGAUAUAGAUAUCCUUUUCUCUUUUUUAUUUUAAACAAGUGGUGACUAAAGAUUAAACUGUCAUAUAUUCACAAGAUAUUCACCACAAAAUUUGUAGGAAAUUUCUUCUUCCCUAAGCGGAAAAUACAAAACAAAAACAUAAUUGGCAAUUUCACUAGCAAAACUAAUAAUAUUUUGUUCCAUAUCCAGGGGUAGAGCUCGGGGUAAAUCUUCAUGAGGCCCAAAUUCAAAUUUCAAGUGUUAGCUGGGAAUUAAUUUUAGACAAUUUUAUUUAUUUAUUUAUUUAUAGCUAGUAUGUAAUUGUUAGGUAUUUCAAAAUUUGAGAAUUUUGUGAUUCUGUGAGAAUGUUGAUUCAAGCAUGUUUGCAUUCUUCUUAUACGUACCAUAGGAGAUAUUUAGUUUUUACCCUCAAGUCAAUGUCAAUGUGAACGUUGUUUUGUGCUGCAAAUUAAAGGAGUCCCCACAGGAGUCACCGAUUUGCUUUGAGAAUUUUGAGAAUUAUGUUUUGCGAGUGAAAUUGCCAUUUUGUCAUAAUGGAAUUUUGCUUUCUGAUCAAUAAUUGAGAAUUUUGCUUGUAGCUACAGGCUGCAGCGAUUUUGAUUUGACGGCUUUGAUUCAUAAUUGAAGUUACUGUUGCAAGUAAAAACUAAAAAAAUUAACAAAAUAAAAAUCAAAGACUUAGGUCCAUGUUUUAUCAAAAUUUUAAUAAAAGGCUAUUUGUCAUUUUGUCAUAAUGGAAAAAUAAUUAACAAAAUAAAAAAAUCGAAUUUACUUGAUUUUAUUUUACAAAAUAUAAAUUAAAUUUCUAUUAUAUGUAUAAAGUUUAUACAUCAAGUGGUUAGGAGUCAAAUCAAUCUUUUUAUACCUAAUUUUUAAUAUUUUACUUCGAAACCUCAAAAAUUUUUAAAGUUUGUUGGGUCACAAUCCCCGCUAGGAGUGGGCAAAUUUGUGUUCAUAUCAACUUGAAUAGGUUUUGGGUUGAUUAGGCUAGAAUUGGAUCAGAUCAAAAAGUAUGAGAGAAAUUAAUUGAGCCUCUCCCAAGAAAAAUACAUACAGAUGAUUAAUAUAUAACCAUUAAAUAAUAAAUAUGUUAGACUUACAUUUAUUUUUUAGCCCUAAAAGUAUGAAAAAAUUAAUACUUUCCGAAUUUAUUUUUUGUACCGUAAAGAAUCAAAUUACUCACAAAAUUAUUUUUAACUUUCAUCAUGCAAACAAACAAAUCAUCAUCAAUUUCAAUAGAAAAAAGUAUUCUAGGUAGAAAUGAUUUCUGUAGCAGAAUAUGAUGUAUUUGGGACUUCCAACUCUAUUAGCUAGGUUAAUAACAUGUUAAUUGUCACAUCAUUAAUUUUAGAUUAUAAAUUUUAUAUUCAAACUUUGUAUGACUGCUCCUUUUUCAAUGAUCUAACUAAUUGAUCUUGUUUCAAAAGAAACAAAAAAUAAAAAUAAAAUUAAGUAAUGCCAUGAUCUAAUUGGUCUUGUUAUUGACAUGUACUAAUGCAUUCUAUUUUUCUAAACUUUGUACAUUUUAUUGAUAUGUUUCUCUUGAGAGAUAAGAAUCAUUAUGUGGCAAAAUUUUAUUAAAGCUGGGAUUAUUUAUGUUCUAAUACUUUGAACAUUAACUUUUAUUCUACUCUUUAGAAUACCUAAAUAAUCCUUACCUAAACAUCUUUCAUAAAUGUUUUUUGCUGGGGCUGCAAAAAUUCAUAAUCUAAUAUUAGUUGAUGUGGCUUUUGUUCCAUCACAUUAAUGUAGAUAAUAAUAGUUAAUUCAUUAACAAAAUGAAAAAUGUUAGUUUACAAAAUACAAAUCCGAAUUUUUUGUGUGUGAGAGGGAAUUUAAAAGGGAGAGAUUAAACAAAUGUGGUGACAAAUUACACGUAUUACCAAAAUUGAAAAGACAAAGUUUAGGCAACUGGAAACAUCUCUGUCAAUGGCAAUGAACCCAUUACCUCCAUUUAUAAUUAACCAAAAUCAAAUAAAUUAAAAAAGAAAACACAAAACAAGGAUAACUACUAGUUGUUUUGAUCAUCCCUGCUUCUUUUCUUAGCAUAGCUCUUGUAAUGAAAAUUAACAAAAAGGGCCAAAAGGGAAGCAUUAAACACAGUAUUGAAGCACCAACCCCAAAACCCAGGGAAACCAAAUCCCGUAAAAUGAUCAUACAGCAUCAAAAUGAAAAAUGUUAUGGAUGGCUGUGAUGGGUCUGAGGAUGUGGGGUCCAAUGAGAGGUGAUGAUGAUGGUGAUGUUGAUGUUGAUGUGUGGUAGAGGAUGGAUGUGAGGGAGAGGUAAGUAAUGAUGGAGUGAAUGAGGAUGUGUGGGAAGGAAGCUAGGGUUUGGUCUUGAGUCCAUGUGAAGUUGAGGACUUGUGGGUGGCUUACAAGCAAUAUUGGAGUGUUAAGCUGACUGAAUUUGAAGCCAUGGCUGGUUUUGGGGGAAGAUUGAUUUGGGAGAGAUGAUGCUCAGAGGAAUGGGGGAGUUUAGAAAGUUUGGGAUAAUGUGAGGGGUGUUUUAGGCAUAUUUUUUCGUCUUAGCUUAAAUUUUUGUUAAAAAAAUGAUAAAUUCUUUUCUCAUAUCAAUUUAAAACUCCGAGUAUGUUUCCAAUUCUUCUUCUAUUUUUGGAUUUUGGAUCAUAAUUUUUGAAUCCAAUAACGGCCUCUUUAAUUAUAAAAUAUGGUAAAAGGGGAUGGGAUAUAGUGUCUUAGGCCUUUGUUUCAACGGCAUCUUUGGACGCGGGUUUCUUUUUUUUCUUUUUUUUUUUGGUUAUUUCUUCUCAAACUUGUGCAGAUUACAUGCACUCAACGUCGAACCCUUUUGUAUGGUAAAGUACAUCGAGUAAGGAUUUCUAUAAUCAAGCUAGAAAGUACAAUUAAAAUUAGAUAUGAGUGCCGCGGAGCAUAGUUUUAAAGUUACAAUAUUAAAGUAUUUAAUAAAUAUUUAUUAUUGUGACUUAAAAAUUAAGUUGGGAGUAUAAAAAAAUCAAUAAUACAUUUAUUAAUUUUGUAGGAAAUUUCUUCUUCCCUAAGCGGAAAAUACAAAACAAAAACAUAAUUGGCAAUUUCACUAGCAAAACUAAUAAUAUUUUGUUCCAUAUCCAGGGGUAGAGCUCGGGGUAAAUCUUCAUGAGGCCCAAAUUCAAAUUUCAAGUGUUAGCUGGGAAUUAAUUUUAGACAAUUUUUUUAUUUAUUUAUAGCUAGUAUGUAAUUGUUAGGUAUUUCAAAAUUUGAGAAUUUUGUGAUUCUGUGAGAAUGUUGAUUCAAGCAUGUUUGCAUUCUUCUUAUACUAAUAGGAGAUAUUUAAUUUUUACCCUCAAGUCAAUGUCAAUGUGAACGUUCUUUUGUGCUGGAAAUUAAAGGAGUCCCCACAGGAGUCACCGUCUGGGGCUAGCUUUCUGAUCAAUAAUUGAGAAUUUUGCUUGUAGCUACAGGCUGCAGCGAUUUUGAUUUGGCGACUUUGAUUCAUAAUUGAAGUUACUGUUGCAAGUAAAAACUAAAAAAAAUUAACAAAAUAAAAAUCAAAGACUUAGGCCCAUGUUCUAUCGAAAUUUUAAUAAAAGGCUAUUUGUCAUUUUGUCAUAAUGAAAAAAUAAUUAAAAAAAAAUCGAAUUUACUUGAUUUUAUUUUACAAAGUAUAAAUUAAAAUUCUAUUAUAUGUAUAAAGUUUAUACAUCAAGUGUUUAGGGGUCAAAUCAAUCUUUUUAUACCUAAUUUUUAAUAUUUUACUUCGAAACCUCAAAAUUUUUCAAAGUUUGUAGGGUCACAAUCUCCGGAGUGGGCAAAUUUGUGUUCAUAUCAACUUGAAUGGGUUUCGGGUUGAUUAAACUAGAAUUGGAUCAGAUCAAAAAGUAUGAGAGAAAUUAAUUAAGCUUCUCCCAAAAAAAAUACAUUUAGAUGAUUGAUAUAUAACCAUUAAAUAAUAAAUAUAUUAGACAUACUUUUAUUUUUUAGCCCAAAAAGUAUGAGAGAAAUUAAUACUUUCUGAAUUUAUUUUUUGUACCUUAAAGAAUCAAAUUACUCACAAAAUUAUUUUUAACUUUCAUGAUGCAAACAAACAAAUCAUCAUUAAUUUCUAUAGAAAAAAGUAUUCUAGGUAGAAAUGAUUUCUGUAGCAGAAUAUGAUGUAUUUGGGACUUCCAACUCUAUUAGCUAGGUUAAUAACAUGUUAAUUGUCACAUCAUUAGUUUUAGAUUAUAAAUUUUAUAUUCAAACUUUGUAUGACUGCUCCUUUUUCAAUGAUCUAACUAAUUGAUCUUGUUUCAAAAGAAACAAAAAAUAAAAAUAAAAUUAAGUAAUGCCAUGAUCUAAUUGGUCUUGUUAUUGACAUGUACUAAUGCAUUCUAUAUUUCUAAACUUUGUACAUUUUAUUGAUAUGUUUCUCUUGAGAGAUAAGAAUCAUUAUGUGGCAAAAUUUUAUUAAAGCUGGGAUUAUUUAUGUUCUAAUACUUUGAACAUUAAUUUUUAUUCUACUCUUUAGAAUACCUAAAUAAUCCUUACCUAAACAUCUUUCAUAAAUGUUUUUUGCUGGGGCUGCUAAAAUUCAUAAUCGAAUUCUAGUUGAUGUGGCUUGUGUUCCAUCACAUUAAUGUAGAUAAUAAUAGUUAAUUCAAUUAUUUACUUCUAUGCUCUUGUAAUGAAAAUUAACAAAAAGGGCCAAAAGGGAGGCAUUAAUCACAGCAUUGAAGCACCAACCCCAAAUCCCAGGGAAACCAAAUCCCGUGAAAUGAUAAUUCAGUAUCAGAACCAAAACAGCAAAACUAAACACAAACUAAACAAUCUGACAAUCAGUGACCAAUCUGCCGCAACCCCAGAACACACAAUAGAUAGUACCCGUACAUGAUCACAUGCACACUUGCAUUGGUAACAAGCGCAAUUGGAAGCAAAGACCGCUUCGUCUGUAACCAAAUGUAGCACAUUACAACGACGGUUGCAUGGUGGUAGACGUGGAGGAACGUGAGCCGUUGGAUGGAGUUUGACAAAAUGAUCAAAAGGGUGUCUGGGAAUUCGAGUAUUUUUUAGAGUUAAAAAUGUAAGCGUAGAAGCAGAGGGGGCCGUGGGAGAAAUGGUAGGGGGGAAACAGGGGAAGUAGAGGAGGUGAGGUGAGUGGAGGAUGAUCGAGAGGGUGCAACCAGCGGCCAUGAUGAGGGAGAAGAGGAGGAGGGUGAGGUUAUGGAUGGCUGUGAUGGAUCUGAGAAUGUGGGGUCCAAUGAGAGGUGAUGAUGAUGGUGAUGUUGAUGUUGAUGUUGAUGUUGAUGUGUGGCAGAGGAUGGAUGUGAGGGAGAGGUAAGUAACGAUGGAGAUAAUGAGGAUGUGUGGGAAGGAAGCUAGGGCUUGGUUUUGAGUCCAUGUGAAGUUGAGGGUUUGUGGGUGGCUUACAAGCAACAUUGGAGUGUUUAGCUGAUUGAAUUUGAAGCCAUGGCUGGUUCUGGGGGAAGAAAGAUUUGGGAGAGAUGAUGCUCAAGAGGAAUGGGGGAGUUUAGAAAGUUUGGGAUCAUGAGAAGGGUGUUUUGGGCAUUAUUUUUGUCUUAGCUUAAAUUUUUGUUAAGAAAAUAAUAAACUCUUUUCUCGUAUCAAUUUAAAACUCCGAAUAUGUUUCCAAUUCUUCUUCUAUUUUUGGAUUUUGGAUCAUAAUUUUUCAAUUCAAUAACGGCCUUUUUAAUUAUAAAAUAUGGUAAAAGGGGAUGGGAUAUAGUGUCUAGGCCUUUGUUUCAACGGCAUCUUUGGACGCGGGUUUCUUUUUUUUUUGGUUAUUUCUUCUCAAACUUGUGCAGAUUACAUGCACUCAACGUGGAACCCUUUUGAAUGGAAGUUACUGUUUUGCUGGAAUCGGGACCAAUUUUUUGACAAAAAUUUCGUUAUAAAAUAUGCAAUUAAAGUCGAGUAAGAUUAAGUAAAGUAACAUCUUGUAUGGUAAAGUACAUCGAGUAAGGAUUUCUAUAAUCGAGCUAGAAAGUACAAUUAAAAUUAGAUAAGAGUGCCGCGGAGCAUAGUUUUAAAGUUACAGUAUCAAAGUAUUUAAUAAAUAUUAUUAUUAUGACUUAAAAAUUAAGUUGGGGGAUAAAAAAAUCAAUAAUACAUUUAUUAAUUUUGUUAAAAUUAUUAUUUAAAAAUCAUAUAUACAACACAAGAUCAACAUUUAUAUUAUAGUUUCAGUUCCUUUUUCACAAUAACUAUAACUACAACACGGUAGUACUAAAUAGGAAGUCGAGUAUGAUCAAGUAAUUACAUAUUAUGGUUUUUUGGUAUUACAUGAUUCUUCAAACUGAAAUUUGCGAUCAAAAUUGUAUCAAAGAAAUCACAAAGACACUCUGUUUGACAAAUCUGCAGUAGAAUUUGCACAAUUUAAGUGGGUUGCAGAGAGUGAAUAAGAUUCCGAAGCAACAGGCAAUUAUUGUUAUUAAGAAAACAAUUCAUCGCUAGAACAAAAUUAACUUUUCUAACUUACUAGAAUUUAACCGGAGAAAAAUUGGAAUAUACGACGUUGUAACUUGUAUCACAUAUAGUAUUUAGACAUCAAGAAAAGAAUCCCUCUAUCAGUGAACUAUACUUGCCAGGAAACACGGUGAAAUACCACCACCUCCCUACUAGAUUAAUGCAGCAAAAUACUCCAAGAAAUUCACCCAGUCACAUUCUUCCGGACUAUCCUCUUUCUUCGCACUUCAGGAGCUCUUGUUUCCCCUUACAGAGUCGGCAUUCCCUUGUUUGAUGCCAAGGAGCCCAAGCCCAGAGACAAUGGCAUUCUUUGAUAUCAACCACCUUGGGGACUUUUGAGUUGAGCCAUUGACAUCCUGAGAUGGCCUGUUGUAAGCCUUCUUCAAAAGGUCAUCUGACUGAAGUAGCGGAUCCGCUUCCACUACUUGCCAAGCAAGCCUUGAUCUUUCUCCUAAUUGGACAUUCAAAACCCUGCAUGGAAUCCAUUUGAGAAGUUGAACAAUAGACAAAGUCCAACACAUAUAGGCAGUAAAGAAGAAUUUGGACAGCAAUUACUGAUUGUUUACGCACAGGGCUGAACAAAUGGGUAUAUUAAGGCACUUAAAAGUUGGAACCAUAUUCACCACUUGUGUUUCCUUAGGGAACUACCUCAGAGUUCAGUUAAUUUAAAACUAUUCUUACGUAUUUAACUACAAAACUAGAGAAAUCGUACUUCUGUAGCGGAGUCUCACUAUUGUUAAGGAUCUAGACUUGGAAAGUAUGCAAGUUGAUUAGGUAAAGAAAAAUUGAAAUAAUACUUGGUCAUAGAUCAACACACUUCAAUAGAAACCACACUAACAUCAUAUCAGACAAAUAAACAGAUUCCCCCAGUCAAAGUUUAACAAACAAAACAUUAAAACAAGGAUAAGAACAGUGCUACUCCAAUAACAUCAAUAUGGUUGACGACCGCUCUAUCAAAUCCAUUGGAAAUUGUAUACUUAUAAUUUUUUUUUUCAAACUUUGUCUAAAAUAAAUGAAUGAGAUAGGAUAAAUUCGAAUAAAUUAAUCUGCAUAAUGACACAAGAAACAAAUGUAAAUUGACCACAAGUCCACAAGUAGAAAUAUACUUUUGUUAUAUUUAGAGCAUCUUCCAAUUUCUUUCCCUUGAGCUCUGUUUCUUCGAGUGCUCAAAAGCAAGACACAGGCCUCAAGAUAUAAUUAUCAUCAUCAAUCUUUUGCAGCCACAUGCAGUACUUGGAAAAUGUUUACGGCCCUAAAUAACUGGAAAAUCAGAAAACAUUAAGAACAAGAGACUAAUCAUUUUAAUCGCAACGAAACAUGCACACUAUGAAAAUAUAAAAUUGAAUUACUUCGAAUGGAUGUGCCUCUUAACAGGAAUUGCACAAGCUAAUGAGCAAGUGAGCCUUCGAAUGAAAAUCUAAAUCCUUGCAGCCUGCGUCAUGCAGCUUCUCCCAAUGAGUAAGUGAGCCUUGAUCAGUUAUCACUCAGCUCAAACUAAAAUGAAAUUACUGUGGACAUGUGAAUUAAAAAUAGAUAUAAUAGCAGUUUUCUCAAAGCAAAGUCAAGAUAAGCGAUUAACUCUCCUCCGUAAUUACAUUAAAAAUAACAAACAAUGAAAAACAGAGCUAGAGAAGAACUUACCUGUGCGUUGAGACCAUGUGGGGAAUGUAAGAUAUCUUCUUAGAUUUGGUUUGAGAAACCCUGCCAAUUAAAAUUUCGGUCCCCAUGUAGCAGAAUUUCUUAUUUUUCCUUUGUACACAAAUGCAGACACUUAAGCAAAUUAAGAUUUCUUACCUAAAGCAAAUUAGGAUUUCUUUUGACCCUGCAAGUUACAAUUUCAGUCCCCAUGUAAUAGGAAAAUUUUGUGCACAUACUUAUAGCAAAUUAAUAUUUCAUACCUCAUGAUAUUUAUCAUAACCAUCAAUCUUUAGAAACCACAUGCAGACUUGUUAAGCUGUUUAUGGCCCAAAAUAACAGGAAAAUUAGAACAGAUUUUUAAGAAUGAGCGACUAAAUAUUUCAAUGGCAACUAAAAUUACACAUCUUGGAAAUCUAAAACUCAAGUACUCAGAAUGAAUGUGCCUCUUCACAGAAAUUAAACAAGCUGGGAACUUUAGUGCAAAUGCUUUUUCAUAAUCUUCAAUUGCAUAAGUCAGUUAGAAUCAAUCUUUCUUAAUCUUUCAAUUCACAGAUGAGAGCCUGAUAACACAAGGAAACACUGUAAGUGAAUUGGCAACUGUGACAAAUUUUGGGUAAAAAUCAUCAACUGUAGUUAUUCGCAUAACAUACAGUGUCAACACCAAAUUCCUUCCUGAUCCGUGGAAGCAUUUCAGCCCACGGACGGCUUGCUUUGUCAAUAUAUAUCAAGCUUUGUAGCUUUUAAGAAACUGAGAGGUGAAAGACCUGGAAUUUUCGAUAGCAACUCAGGAUUCUAUAUUUAAAUUAUGAUGUUCGAUAACUUACUGAUACAAAAGACAUUGUCCCAAGCACUUUUUUACAGGAGCUAAGAUCAAGCCAGUCACUUCCAUUUGUUGCAGUUUUAACGCAGAAAGAAAAAGGGAGAAAAAAAUCUGCAAGAUACCGCAUGUUCGCGGAAGCAGAGUUGAAUAAUUACAAAAUUACAUUCUUGAUUGCACAGAAAUGAUAUAUAGCAAAACAAGCAUAAGGAAAUAACAAUAUAAUUUUACAUUGUUCAGCUUUUGGUCUACGUCACAGUCAAAGACGUGAAGAGAAUUUUACUAAGAAAUAAGAGUGUACUAAUGUCAAAGAAAAACAUUCACUAAUCGCUGAUAUAUGCUUAAUUUCUCACUCACUCCAAGAAGUUUCAUUCUCCCAUAAUUCACUCAAAUGAAACUUUCAUUGGAAGGUCCUAUUAUUAAGGCUUUAGCAUCACUUCAUAUGCUCAACAAUUCAAAUUUGAGGAUGUUAUUUCACAAAAUGGAGGGCUCUAUUUGGCUUGUGAACAAUCUUCCUCACCAUCACCAUCAUUGCCGUACCAGUAGCACUGAACAAUCCUCAUUCUGACAUUUGCCCCAAUUAUCUGAUUACACAAGAAUCCAAAACAACUGUUAGAAAUUUUAAUCUUUAUAUAUAGCCAAAAUGGUGAAUAAGAUGAUGUACUUGAUAAUAAAAACCUGAUUUAAUAAAUAAUUAAGGGACCGAUAACAAGCACAGAAUCUCAGCGUGUGGGGAAAGCCUUGACAACAGAAGAUGGUGCUUUCAUUCAAGCAAUGAUAACUUUCCAAUUUCAUAAGGUAGCUUAAUGCCCUUUUAAGAAUAUCUGCACCAGCCUGACAAUUAUUCAUGGAAAUUCAAAUUCAAUCAUGUUCGUAUGAGAGAUGAAAUGUAAUGAGCGACUUGGCCACCAUAUAUGCAUUUAUCAUCCCCUAUAGAUUCCCUGUUACCUUGCAGCAAGAGGCAGGCCUUUGCACUUGCGUGCAAUUUUUCGCCCGAUUGGUUCUAAUUUUUCACCAUCCUCCAAAGAGCGACCGGAAAAUGCUAACUGUUUGAACAACAACCAACAUUCCUCUUCCGUCAAUUGCUCAAUGAAGAUAAUAUUUUUUGAUCCCAUCAUACGUGCAACUGACUCAUUACGUGUGAAAACCAAAUUUUUACUUCCGUGGAGACCAUGCUUUAGACAAUGCCUUCUUCUACAUUUAAAGUAACUUUGAGCCAUCCAUAGUGUAAUUAGUUCCUCUUUACACAUAUUGUAACCUUUUGAAAAGAUAGCACAAUGUGAGAAAUAUUGUUUUACUACGGACGAUAAAUCAUUAUAACUUAACAACAAAGGAGUUAAAAGACCUUUCCCAAACUCUUCUACCUUCCACAUUCCACUAUCUAAAAUUAUUUUCUAUUCUUCUAUUGGUCAUUUAUAGUGUAAGAAUUUCCCUAUUAUCUUUGCAACAAAAGGCAAGCCUUUGCACUUACAUGCAAUUUUUUGAUCGAUUGAUCACGAUCCUUGAAGAAUUGACCCAAAAAUGCUACUUGCUUAAACAAUGACCAACAUUCUUCUUCAAUUAAUUCCUUAAGAAAUGUAAGAUUUGUUGAUCUCAUCAUGCUUGCUGCUAACUGAUUGCGUGCAGUAAUCAAAAUUUGACUAUUGUAGAGACCAUUCUUUAAACAACAGAAGAAUGGUUCCCAUUAAUUGUAACGUCCAUCCCACACAUCAUUUAAGACAAGAAAAAAGUAUCUUUCCGUCAAUACAUUUAUGAAUAUGGCUUACAAGAGAUAACCUAAUAUUUGAACAUCGUCUCUGGGAUGGUUGCUCCUUUGAUUGUGUUGUCGCACCAUGAUGACAAGUGAACUUGUCUGAUACCAGCUGAUGAUGCAGAAACACUAAAAGGCUAUUAGAUAAUAUAAACUAGUAUUUGAAUAAUAAGUUUUAUUAAGAAUAAUUUGAAUGAACAAAAUUAGGGUUUUGAAUCCCUUUUAUAGGAGCCUAAAUAUAGCAAAUUUAACAAAAUAAGCAAAUUCAAAAUAUUUUAUGAUAAUAAAAUUCUUCGAAUCUAAAUAAGAGAAAGAAAACAUAUGGCACUUAAAUCCAAUAUCUAGAAAAAAUGAUAAGAAUCCUAGAAUAAUCAAGAAAAAUAAAAAAAUAUCUUAAAACUGAAAAACGACUAUAAAAGAAGUGAAAUUUUUAGCUCAAUCGCAGGGCAUAACAGCCUAGGUUGUUCUGCAUUUGGUUCGACUCAUCACAAGCUUGGAAACUAUAUUAUAUGUCCAAAACGAACACUCGUAGCCCAAUUUCUAGCCUCAGAAGAUACCCAGCUUAUUCCAUGCAACCAUCUUAUAUCAACUUGCCUUCUCUGCAUCUUCAAGCACAACUUGAAUGUCUUGAAGAUUUAUAACAAGUCACAAGCAGCAAAGGAGUUCAGCUGCUCCGGGAGAGGGGAAGCGAUCACAUCCAUUCUGGCAAAGAAAAGGAGAAAUAAUUUCAUAAGUUGUUCAACGUACAUUUGUUGCAAAAAUACGUUUAUGGUUAUUGUCGCCUAACCCACGCGUCAAUAAUUUUAGCAUUUUUAAUUUCCCUGAUUCUACUCCACAGCUGUGAUACAUAAUUGUAAAUAUUCUCUAAUUAAUUUGUAGUGGUCGGGCCAGUGCCAUUUAAAAAAAAAAAAAAACAAAACAAAAGUUGGAAAAAAGCAUGCAUCACCGAUAAUUCAUUUAUUUAUUUGAGGACGGGGAUAUUUUCUACCCACUUAUUUUACAAAUCUACCUUGCUGUCAGAAAAUAAUUGUGUAAUACGUUCAUACUAUUUUUAAAAUAUAUAAAUCAAUAAAACGUAUAGACAAUCAAUAAAUUAAAUCAUUCAUAUAAUUUUUUUUUUUUAACUUAGGUGUCUUUGACCAUUUAGGUUGCUUUAAGAUAAGUUUCAUUAAAACCAAAUUAGAUUGGACCUGUGAAUUGCUAGUGUGGUUCUGACAUUUCCUCGAAUCCCUGGUGAACAUAAUUAAACAAGUAUGAAAUAAAACAAAGUUAUGUAAUGUACUACAAAAAACAAUUACACAAUUACUUUAAAGAAUUAAUGUCACGUAUAUUAUAUAUAAAAAAAUACGAUUAUCAUUAUUUAAGAUAAAAUUGAUAAUUUAGUUUUCAACAUUACUGCAAACGUAUCACAGAGAUUUUGUCUCUCAGCAAGUUACACAUAACAAAUUUCCGUACAUUAAAAAAUAAAUUACAUUGCACGAAAUUUUAAAAAAGAGCCCAUAUUUUUUAAAAGUAAACAUAUAAAUUUCAAUAGACUACACUUGUUUUUUUAUUUUUUAUUAUUUAAUCUUUAGAAAACAAGUUUAACAGAUUUGAUAACUAGGAAGUUUUACGUAUUUAUACCAUGAUUGAUUCUUUAUAGAAUUUUAAUUCAAAAUAUAUUAUUUUAAUCAAUUUCAUUGCAAGCAACAACGAAGUAAAUCAGAGGAGGAGGAGAAAUUACCAGCCUUGAUGUGGGGAAUGUGGGAUAUCUUAUGCCAGUCUUCUCCUUUCCCCUCUCUAUAACGGUUUUCCAGAAGAGGACAUCUGUGAAUAGUCAAUUCCUGCAGCGUCGACGUUCGAAGGAGGUAAUCCGGCAGCACCUUUAAUUUGGGGCAACUCCAAAUUUUCACAACAAUAAAUAGUCAGUUCCUGCAGUGCCGUCGUUUGAAGAAGGUAAUCCGGCAGCGCCUUUAAUUUGUUGCAAGAACCAACUGUUAAGGAAGAAAGACGGGGCAUGAUGGAGAUGUUUUCCUUCCUCGUAAUCCUGUAAUUCCACUCUUCCAGUUCUUUCAUUCCGUGAAUUUCGAGUGAUUUCAAUUUGGGGAAGGCAAUAACUGAUGAUGACG